GCUCCUGAUGAUCAAUUUCGUAACAAUAUACGCUGGAAAUUACCGGCUGAGUUUUUCUUUGACGACAAUAAAUGGCUAUUUCUGAUC
rnacentral:snoRNA from 1 species